rnacentral:rRNA from 1 species
UACGAAGGGUGCUAGCGUUGUUCGGAAUCACUGGGCGUAAAGCGCGCGUAGGCGGUGAUCCAUGUCAGAGGUGAAAGCCCGGGGCUCAACUCCGGAAUUGCCUUUGAAACGGGAUCGCUAGAGUCCGAGAGAGGAUGGCGGAAUUCCUAGUGUAGAGGUGAAAUUCGUAGAUAUUAGGAAGAACACCGGUGGCGAAGGCGGCCAAUCUGGCUCGGUACUGACGCUCAGGCGCGAAAGCGUGGGGAGCAACAGGG